rnacentral:rRNA from 1 species
UUUAAAUAGCUGCAGUAUUUUAACUGUACAAAGGUAGCGUAGUAAUUAGUCUUUUAAUUGGGGUCUUGAAUGAAUGGUUUGACAAGAAAAGCGCUUUAUUGUGAUAAUUAAAUAAAUUUUAUUUUUUAGUUAAAAAGCUAAAAUUAUUAAAUGGGACGAUAAGACCCUAUAGAUCUUAAAUUUUUUUUUAAAAUAUACAUUUUAGUGUAAUUGAUUUUUUUUAACAAAAAUUUUUUGUUGGGGUGACAUACAAAAUUUAAAAACUUUGUAAUAGAUUUACAUACGUAAAUGUUUAAUUGAACCUAAAUUUUAGGUUGUUAAAAUAAGAUACCUUAGGGAUAACAGCGUAAUAAAUUUGUAAAGUUCAUAUAGAUAAAUUUGUUUACGACCUCGAUGUUGAAUUAAUUAAAAGUUUUGGAGCAGAAUAUAAAAUUUUGGGUCUGUUCGACCUUUAAAAAAUUACA